ACCAAACCCCUGAUGGAUAGGCGGGAAGAUUCCACUCGAACUGCCGGGCUGCGAAAUAAAGGACGAGUGACCCCGCGACCGUAACGUCAGGCCGUCGUAGCAUCAGCCACAAUACCGGCGGAAAGACCGCCAUCAGCCCGAUAUAGAGCGGAAGAACAUCGAGGUUGAGGGGCUUGUAUUUCAGGAGCAAUCCCUGCGUUAACGUGGGGAUCGGACGAUCGAUAAGCCCGGCCACGUUAAACUCGUCCAGAAGAUGCGAGUCGUG
rnacentral:misc_RNA from 1 species